CCUACGGGAGGCAGCAGUAGGGAAUUUUCGGCAAUGGGGGGAACCCUGACCGAGCAACGCCGCGUGAACGAAGAAGUUAUUCGUAAUGUAAAGUUCUUUUAACAGGGAAGAAAGAGAAAUUUGACGGUAGCUGCAGAAUAAGCUCCGGCUAACUACGUGCCAGCAGCCGCGGUAAUACGUAGGGAGCGUGGGUUAUCCGGAUUUAUGGGGCGUAAAGGGGGCGUUGAUGGCAUAGAAAGUCUUUGGUAAAAAUGCUGGGCGCAACCCAGUAGGGCAAAAGAUACUGCAAAGCUAGAGUAUGACAGAGGCGAGUGGAACUACAUGUGUAGCGGUAAAAUGCGUAAAUAUAUGGAAGAACACCAGUGGCGAAGGCGGCUUGCUGGGUCGAUACUGACAUUGAGGCACGAAAGCGUGGGGAGCAAACAGGAUUAGAUACCCUAGUAGUC
rnacentral:rRNA from 1 species